GUCCUCUUGAAUUUAAUUUGAGGUUUAACCUGCCCACUGAAAUUUUUUAACGGCCGCAGUAAUUUGACUGUGCAAAGGUAGCAUAAUCAUUAGUUUUUUAAUUAAAAGCUUGUAUGAAGGGUUGGACGAGGUAAAAUCUGUCUCUAUUUAAUUUAAUAUAGAAUUUAAUUUUUAAGUUAAAAAGCUUAAAUUUUAAUAAAAGACGAGAAGACCCUAUAGAUCUUUAUAUUAUUUAUAUUAAUUUUAAUUAAGAAUUAUUUAUUAAUUAAUAUUAAUAAUAUUUUAUUGGGGUAAUAAAAAGAUUAAAAAAAUUCUUUUAUAAAUUAUACAUUGAUUAAUGAAUAAAUGAUCCAAUUAUUUUGAUUAUAAGAUUAAGUUACCUUAGGGAUAACAGCGUAAUUUUUUUAGAGAGUUCUUAUCGAUAAAAAAGUUUGCGA
rnacentral:rRNA from 1 species